GGGGUUGUGGCUUAGCAGUAGAGCAUUCACCUAGCAUGUGUGAGGCCCUGGGUUCAAUCCUCAGCACCA
rnacentral:tRNA from 1 species